CAUAUAUAGAUACCCAGGACAUAUUAGGAGGGAGAUAGUUCCAUCAUGGAGUAAAACGUACAUGCCCAGGAUGUUGGAAUUGAUCUCGGUCAAAACAAACCGAGAGAAAAAGGGGGGAGCUCAACUCCCACGUACGUGCCCUGAUCGGGGGCACCAAACCAACUGUUUUGGUCUCGGUCCCGCCUCCCUAGCACCUAAAAAAUAAAUAAGGAAAAAGGACCCCUCCCGUGUGAUCUAACGAUCUGCACGGUAAGGCCAGGUCUCUCGCUAACUACUGAUCCUGAUGAGGUGCUAACGGAGACGAAGACCGUCUACCACCGCCGGCCACCUCCAGGGCAGUGCCGGCGGCACCCUGCACGUCCAUCUCCCUGCUGCUGCUUCUUCCCCAAUAAGCUCCACACUGCAGGAGGCUCACGGGGGAGCCCCCUCAGUGCUGGCGGCGCUGCUGCUCAUCACGUAAUCCUGGUGCUGUCCUUCCCCGGCCAUGGAGGACCCAAGGUGCAGCCAUGGACUACUGGUAGUUUUACAAUGAUUCUGGUUUUGUCAAAUAGAUGAAGUUAACAUAAGGUAUGUUGCCUCAAGAAAUUCAAUUAUGAAAUAAGGCGAGCGUUGGGACAAGGGGGAGUAAGUUCACUAAAUGUGAAGAUGGAAUAUUUUUUGGCGAGCCAAGAAUUUGUAUCUUCCAUUGACAUAAAGGAUCUUGGUGAUGCCUUAUACUUUAUUUGUAUCGAGGUUCAUCAAGAUAUAGGUCCAAAAGGAGUAUAAGUUCUCUUAUGACGACAUACGUCAAUAGAGUACGAAAGAAAAUAUUAUGUGGCAGUACUCUAUCUCACCUGCUACUCAAGUUAAGGGCAAUAAAAGUGGACAUCUCAGUGUCCAAGGAACAUUUAUGAA